rnacentral:rRNA from 1 species
GGCGGCAUGCUUUACACAUGCAAGUCGAACGGUAACAGGUCUUCGGAUGCUGACGAGUGGCGAACGGGUGAGUAAUACAUCGGAACGUGCCUAGUAGUGGGGGAUAACUACUCGAAAGAGUAGCUAAUACCGCAUGAGAUCUACGGAUGAAAGCAGGGCGGCUGAUGGCAGAUUAGGUAGUUGGUGGGGUAAAGGCUUUACCAAGCCUGCGAUCUGUAGCUGGUCUGAGAGGACGACCAGCCACACUGGGACUGAGACACGGCCCAGACUCCUACGGGAGGCAGCAGUGGGGAAUUUUGGACAAUGGGCGAAAGCCUGAUCCAGCAAUGCCGCGUGCAGGAUGAAGGCCCUCGGGUUGUAAACUGCUUUUGUACGGAACGAAAAGCCUGGGGCUAAUAUCCUCGGGUCAUGACGGUACCGUAAGAAUAAGCACCGGCUUAACUACGUGCCAGCAGCCGCGGUAAUACGUAGGGUGCAAGCGUUAAUCGGAAUUACUGGGCGUAAAGCGUGCGCAGGCGGUUUUGUAAGACAGUGGUGAAAUCCCCGGGCUCAACCUGGGAACUGCCAUUGUGACUGCAAGGCUAGAGUGCGGCAGAGGGGGAUGGAAUUCCGCGUGUAGCAGUGAAAUGCGUAGAUAUGCGGAGGAACACCGAUGGCGAAGGCAAUCCCCUGGGCCUGCACUGACGCUCAUGCACGAAAGCGUGGGGAGCAAACAGGAUUAGAUACCCUGGUAGUCCACGCCCUAAACGAUGUCAACUGGUUGUUGGGUACUUAACUGACUCAGUAACGAAGCUAACGCGUGGACCUUCGGG